UACGUAGGCACCAAGCGUUGUUCGGAAUUACUGGGCGUAAAGAGUGCGUAGGCGGUCGACUAAGUCUGGUGUGAAAUCUCCCGGCUCAACUGGGAGGGUGCGCCGGAAACUGGUCGGCUAGAGUGUGGGAGAGGGAAGUGGAAUUCCUGGUGUAGCGGUGAAAUGCGUAGAUAUCAGGAGGAACACCUGCGGUGUAGACGGCUUCCUGGACCAUAACUGACGCUGAGGCACGAAAGCGUGGGUAGCAAAC
rnacentral:rRNA from 1 species